rnacentral:tRNA from 1 species
UAGCUGUAAAUUUAGUUUCGACCUAAUAUUACUUGUGUGCAAGACAGUUGG